ACAAUCGGUCGCCGGAGGCCGAGGGAGGGCGGUGCGGCCGACCGUAGGCGGCGGCUGCUCGCAGGUUGGAAAAAUAGCUCGGCCUCGGCCCUAGCUCGCGCUGGGCGACCGCAGGGAGUAGUGCGACGGCCGGCAGCCCGCAGGGACGGCGGUGGCGGUGAGCGGAGAGUCGCUGGAGAACCAAGGAGGGCGGCGCGACCGAUCAAGGGUGGUGGCGGCUCACCGGCCUCGAGCUAGGCUGAGCUCGGCCCAGUCGGGUCUGGGUUGGCCGCAGGGAAAAAGGGCAACGCUAGCGGCGCGUGCGGACGGCGGGGCCGGUGGGGACGGCGCCGGAGGGGGAUCUCAACCAGAGGGUGGAGGCACGACGCGUGUGGGUGACUCUAAGUGGUUCACGGCCGAGAGAAGAGGAACCAAGGUGGAGAUCGGUGAAGAGGAGGCAAAUGCCGGAAUUCCGGCGGCCGGGGUGCGCGCACAGCUAGGGUAGGGUCGAUCUGGUGACG
rnacentral:lncRNA from 1 species